UUACCGGCGGUCUCUAAUUCGCUUGGUGCAGGUCGGGAACUGAUUGCCUGCCUCUCCUUCUUUUUUAAUCCAAUUGGAUCCAAUUUAAGCCAGCUGAUUGGAGGAUGCGAGAAUUGGAUCCCGCCUUGCAUCAACUGAAUCGGAGACCGCGGUGAGG
rnacentral:pre_miRNA from 1 species